AUCCAAAAAUGAGAUUAUUAAACUUCAUGUAUUAUUGAUGAGCGUCUAUUUCUUUUAUCAUUAUGAUUAAUUUCGACGUUCAGCCUUUGUCAAAAAGCCAAGCUAGGCCAUCGCCAUUGUUCACUUGGGAUCUAAACGUGUAAGAGACCAAAUGCUAAACCAUUAUGAGCGCAUUUUUUGAAAGAUCAGAGGAAACCGAGAUGAAUUUCAUUUGCGUGGCCAAAGCCGUGUGCCUUUAUCACAACGAGACAACUGAAGCACCUAACGACCACUUUGACCAAUGAUCCGUGAUAAGUAAACAAUUCACCAGCUCGAUAAAAUGAUUGUAACUAGAGUCAAUCAAACUGAAUUGUGUUAAACCAUGAUGCAGCAAAAUCUUAGUGACUUAAUCGACACGUUUAUCCGUUAAUACCCUUUUUGUAAUGCAAAAUAAUGAUUGGUCUUUCAUCUGAUCCAAGCCAUCACAAAUACUGUACCAUGCGUGCACAUAAAGGAGUAAAUUGACUAAGACUUUGCCUGGUUUCAAAACCUCUUAAGAAAUAUUUAUCACUCUAUGUUGCAAUUAAAAAUUUGUAGUUUUAAGCUGCUUUUGAAGGCGGACGAGGAAAUAUUUGGUUAGUAAACUUAAUUACUUUUGAGAUUUAUUAGUUUUGUGCAUCCAAAAUUGUAUAACGCCUUAUUCCAAUUGUUCACGCGAGUGAGUCAAUACAUGUUAUUAGCACUGGAGACAAAGCUGGGUAGUCUCGUUCCUUUCUCCUCUCUUCCGUUCAGAGCCAGUCUCGGAAAUUGGAUUUGGGUAAAUAAAGUGAAUGGGAUUAAUUAGAUAGGCAGGGUCAAAACGAAUUUAGAGUUUCUUCAAUUUUCUCCCGAUCAAAUCAGAUACAGAAGAAUGAUGUAAACAACUAACAAACAAAGGGCAAGCGGAAAAUAUACACUUGUAACGCGUAACACUUCCACUUGGAUCUGCUGUACUAGUGGAAUCAGACACGGAAAGUACAACCGCUAUUACACUGGCAAGCGUUUUUUGGGACAAGGUUUUGUUUCUACAAGUUUUCUCUGCUGUGCAGCCUGAUGGAGGUAGAGUUCUUUGGAGGUGGCCAAGGGUACUUUGAAAAACUGUGGAAAGGAAUGCCUUGUAUCGAUGUCCCCAUGAAACCGCGAGAAGCAAAUUGGAUCUUCAGUGUUGCAAUCAGCAGAACUCUACGGGGGCAUCUUUUUUUUCGUGAUCGGAAGUGUCACUGCUGGGGUUGAGGCGAGGAAUGCGUGAUGCUUGGCACGUGAUGAAAUCGACCACAGUCGCAAGGGCGACGAAAAUAGGGCAGAUAACGAAUGCCAACAUACAUGGAUUCACCGCAAUAACACUAUUAAAUUAGCCAAAUACCAUCAUGUUCUGUCAACAAUGAAAUAGAUCCAUCGUCGUAACAGGCGUAAUAAAAAUUACAUCGUUCAGAUUUAAA